rnacentral:miRNA from 10 species
AUGGGUGUGUGUCUAUUCCAUG